rnacentral:rRNA from 1 species
UACCAGCACCCCGAUUGGUCGGGACGAUUAUUGGGCCUAAAGCAUCCGUAGCCGGUCCUGCAAGUCCUCCGUUAAAUCCACCCGCUCAACGGUUGGGCCGCGGGGGAUACUACAGGGCUAGGAGGCGGGAGAGGCAAGCGGUACUCGAUGGGUAGGGGUAAAAUCCACUGAUCCAUUGAAGACCACCAGUGGCGAAGGCGGCCUGCCAGAACGCGCUCGACGGUGAGGGAUGAAAGCUGGGGGAGAAAACCGG